rnacentral:rRNA from 1 species
AUAAGAUGUAGUAUCGCAUGAUAUAGCAAUUAAAGGAGCAAUUCGCUAUAAGAUGGACCCGCGUCGCAUUAGCUAGUUGGUGAGGUAAUGGCUCACCAAGGCGACGAUGCGUAGCCGACCUGAGAGGGUGAUCGGCCACAUUGGGACUGAGACACGGCCCAGACUCCUACGGGAGGCAGCAUG